CAGUAGCCGCGGGAAUACGGAGGGUGCAAGCGUUAAUCGGAAUUACUGGGCGUAAAGCGCACGCAGGCGGUCUGACAAGUCAGAUGUGAAAUCCCCGGGCUUAACCUGGGAACUGCAUUUGAAACUGUCAGGCUGGAGUCUUGUAGAGGGGGGUAGAAUUCCAGGUGUAGCGGUGAAAUGCGUAGAGAUCUGGAGGAAUACCGGUGGCGAAGGCGGCCCCCAGGACAAAGACUGACGCUCAGGUGCGAAAGCGUGGGGAGCAAACAGGAUUAGAUACCCCGGUAGUCCCUGUCUCUUAUAC
rnacentral:rRNA from 1 species